UAAAAUAAUCCUAAAUCCAUCUACGGUUCUGGGUUUAUAAUUGGUGGAUUUCUUUGAUCCAGUUUCUUCACAUUUAUUUGGAAUGUAAUUCCUUUAGUGACUACUAGAUGGCGCCACACUUUUGUUUGACACUAAAUUUGGGUAAAGGAGAAUGAAAACAGGAAGUAUUUCUGAUCACAUGACUUUUUUUUUUAUAAGAUCACAGCAUGUCAAUUCUGCUUUUUAAACCUACAGAAAUCACCACUUGUGGAUCGUCUAAUCGAGAGGAGGUGGGGAUGACUCAUCUAUCUGAGGUUGUUGCUGUCCAGCCUCCUCUCUGGAGUCAGAAAGGACGCUCCGCUUGAGGGGUGCUGGGCGAAGGCAGGAGGUUCCUGGAGGCGUGGAAGGCUCAGGGUGUCUGUGGGAGGCUCGUGAGGAGGAGGAAGAAGUGGAUGAAGAUGAAGUGCAGUUGCCAGUGCACACCCCCGAGCUGGACCGUUCGCCUCUUUUGGCACGAUAGGACGCUCUACGCCUGAGCUCGCUCACCAGCUCAUAUUUGACGAAGCAAAAGACGUCCUUGACCCCGCAACGUUUUUCCGGCUCGGCGGCGAGAAGCCUUUGGAACAUUCGCAGGGCGUCGUCGGUGAAUCGGCGCCACUGAGACGGAUACGUCCCCACGGGGCAUCCGGCUUUCUGCCAACGUCGGAACUCCUCGUAGAAGGCGUCGCUUAGCAGCGCCGCUUCCCAGGGGAAGUUACCCGUCAGCAUGCAGAAGACCAGAACUCCAAAAGCCCACACGUCCAGACUGGUAGCCACCAGGAAGCCCUCGGUGCGGCCGGCCCGGCACACCUCCGGAGCCGUGUAGGGGAUGGUGCCGCUCACCCUUUUCACCCGACAGCCGACCCGUCGAGUCAUGCCAAAGUCGGCUAGCUUGAUGCGGCGACACUCGCGGUCGAACAGAAGCACGUUUUCCGGCUUGACGUCCCUGUGGACCAAACUUUUGCUGUGCAUGAAAUCCAGAGCCAGACCGAGUUGUUGCAUGCAGCGUUUGACCAUUUCUUCUGGAAGACCCACCUGGGAGGAAGACAAAAAGCAAAACACAGUUCAGGGAGAACACUGAUUUUCUCCAAUAAGAUCUCCAGUCUCGCAAUUGCAAUUUUAAUGAGGAAGCCAAGACAAGUAGUUCUAAAGCAAAGUCGGAGCUGCCGACAAAAGGCUCCGACUCUCAGGAGAGAGAGCUUGUUAAAAGC